AAAAAAAGGGCUUCGACGUGUGGACGGGUGCAGGGUCAAAUCGAUUUAACGCUGCUAAAUUCGACCUCAACUCCUAGUGUAGACCAGGGCACAGACAGGAUUUGGGGGCAGAGGAGCAGCAGAACUGGCAACACUGGAGCAGGACAAAAAGUAACACUGUGGCAGGAUCCAGGAGUUGGAUGCACUAUAAAGCAGGACUCUGAGAGUAUGUACAACUGUAUCCAGGAGGAGCCAUUGGCCUACCUGCACGCCGGACAGUGAUAAAGUGCUGGGCCCAUGCACAAGUCUGAGCCACAAUCCUGGCUCCAAUAAAAUCUAUCGGAGUGUUGCUAUUGACUUCAGUGGGGUCAGGAUUUUGGCCCUGGGAAGGAGAAAGUGGGCAUAAACUCAUUUUAAGAUUGCUGUAGGAUACAUGGAGGAUGCUCUUUUUCAAUCUUGACUGUAUUAUACUCAAUGGACCAGAUUUAGAUGGCCUGCUAUUUGACCCCAGUGCAGCCCAAGAGCAAGGGGACCACAACAGCCAUCUCUGUAGCUCCUAGAUUUUCAGACUGCUGGGCACCAGUCCAGUACCAUUGAACAAUUUUGAGCAUAAAGGUCAAAAGACCUUUGUAUACAAGGUCUAUUGCGACAAAGAAAGGAGUGGGAGUAACAUAAGAAUUAAAAAAAAAAAUUGUUUAAAGGUUGUAUCAUAUUCUGUUACUACUGUUUGAGAAAAGUAAGUCAUCCUGUAAUUAACUAAUACAUUGUAUUGCUUAUACAAAACUUUGCCAGUUCCUGGCUCUUCAGUGCUGAACCUUGCAAACAUGCCAUUCUCUUAAUGCAGUUUUUUGCAUGAGAAGAUAGACGCAUUAACAUGAAUGUUUAGUUUGGCAAAAUGACUGCCUUCACUGUAAAAAGAGAUUAAUUAGUAUAGCAAAAACAAAUUAGGAUUGUCGUAAUGUACACCUGAUUAGUAUCUCUUCAGUAACAAUUAGAUGCUGGUAAACUUGUUAACCUGAAGUUUUGUGCAUCCUCUCUCUCUCUCUCUCUCUUUAUUGAAAGAAGUAGAGUUUGGAAACUCCUGUGGAUAUCUCAGUGUAGUUUUCUUGCCAACAAGCUGGGGGAUGCAGGCUGACAUGCAGCCUGUUUCUAAUAGCACACACACUGUUUCUUUAUUUAGAGCCUCUUUACCAGUAUCAAUUAAACCCCAGUUAAAUUUGACACAUCUUAACCUUGCGUUGGAUCCAAUUCAUUGCUACAGCAGAACCCAUAUGGCACUGAGACAGUUGCAGGCAUCAAUUCAUUGCUUAUGUAGAGUUACUGGCUGAAUGCCAAGCAGUAAUCACUGCUUUUUGUUAAUAGACAUGUUUGCUUUUGCAGUCAUUUCUAUACACAGUGCUCUAGAUUAAUUAGAACAAAAUCUGUCAUCCAUCUAAAAAACAACCAGAACACUCUCUCUGUUUUUUUUUCUUCAGAUUUAAAGAGAGAGGAAUUCUGGCAAAAUAGAUGUACUUUAUUCUGGAAUAACCUAUUUUGCUUUGUGGAACAUACAUUUAUUUGUUAUUCAGAUUUAAUAAAUAAUUAAGUAGAAAGAGAACUAGGAAAAAAGAACUGGAGAUCUAAAAUAUACACAUUCCACUCAGAGAUUAGUGGAUUUCCUCAGAGUGAAUUUAUGUUAAGUGGGAGAUGGUAUCCUUCAAAAAUUAACAUAGCAUAUGUUUUUCAUGAAAUAAACAGAUUUGUCAUUUCAUUGAAAUAUUAUGUUUUUUCAUACGAUAUCCACUCAAAUCAUUAGUGUGCAUAUGGAGAUCACAUGCCAAGAUUGUAUAAUCAUCCUUGAGGUUUUAAAGUGGGUUCUUCCAUAUCCUUUUGAAUAAUGCCUAUUUAUCUAUUUGAAAUUACAUCAACAUUAAUGGACAGGUAUGUAAACAGCUUUUGCAAAAUAUUUCCUAUGUUACUGAUACCAAAUUUUAGAGCAGAUAUGACUGUCAUGAUUAAAUACCAUUCUUUCCGUCCUGUGUGUGAAUAAUCAGCACAUGAUUGGUGUUGCCAAUUGUUCUCUAAACCAUUCUGGCUUCUUGACUGCUGCUUUCAGACCACUUUAUUUUAAAUCUACUGUGGUGGACACUCACUUUUCACAGAAAAAACUUUAAAGUAUAUUGUAGUAUUACAUUUAUUAUGCAAUAUGUUUUGUACUCAACUUAGUUUCAUUAGUACUAGAGUAUUUUACAAGAAUAAAAUAGUGCCACAAUGGUGACGUCGUACAAUCUAUUUGCGUCCCCAGGUUAUUACACUGGUGCCCAUCACCCUGGUAUCGGAAGACCCCAUAUUUUUGAGACAAUGAAUUGGUUUGUCAUGUGUUGAUUUUUAAUAUGGCUAUGAAGAAAUUGCUAUAGUAUUUUUCUUUUCCACUCAUUUGUCUACAUUCAUAGCAAAUUAUUUUGAUACAAAUGUCUUGGUGUUGUUCGAGGAUCAGUUAGAUAACAUUUUAGAAUGUUUGUUUUCUCAGGCGCUUUUGAAUUAAACCCUCCCUCUGCUUGCACACUUGAAAACAGGACAACAGACAUGGCGCCUGAUUCAAAGCCCACUGGAGCCAAUGGGAAUCUUUUCAUCUACUUCAAUGGACUUUGGAUCAGGCCCACUAUUCUGGAAUUUUAGUAUUGCCUUCCCAAAAGUACAUUAGACUAGUGAUUCUCAAAGCUGGUCCGCCACUUGUUCAGGGAAAGCACCUGGCGGGCUGGACCGGUUUGUUUGCCUGCUGUGUCUGCAGGUUCUGCCAAUCGCGGCUCCCACUGGCCACGGUUUGCCGCUCCAGGCCAAUGGGGGCUGUGGGAAGCGGCGCAGGCCAAGGGACCAGCUUUGAGGGUCACUGCAUUAGACUAUUGUUAGUCGAACUGAUGGAUUUUGAAUGGCCGUCCAGCACCCUUUAAAAUAAUCCACGUCUAACAUAUUAAAGAAAAAUGUAUACAGUAUUCAAUUGUUAAUGAUUUAGAUCAGUUUUCAUUUAACAAAAUCAGUAAGCUAAGUUUGUAAGCUGUUAUGUAUUUGUUUAUUUUAAUGAUUUAACUUGACUUGUACUUCAGUAUAAGAUUUAAAUAGAAAUCCUUGCCUCUUCCUAAAUCUCUGUAAUCAUGUUACUUGUUAUAUGUUACGUAUAACUUGUUUUUGGAUGGAAGAAGAGCGAAAAACUACAUUUGCUGGAAGUUAAAAUCCUUUUCAAACUUUUUUUUAGUGUUCAGUUUAUGUUUUAGUAUUCCAAUACUGUUGGUCCAUUGUUUGGUACUACAGCUUUAUCAGCAGAAUGUGUGGCAGAUGGUUUACAUUUGCAUUAGCCUUCUGGAAAAGGAAUAAGCUACCAACAACAUAAGCUGCAGCUUUUCUUUUCAAAAUUUAUAACAAAUUGGUCAGAAUGGCAUUUAAAAAAACCAACAACCAACAUUAGCACCACUAUCUCCCAUUCCUUUUCUGAAGAGGAAUAAUGACGCCCACUCCAACACUGUCAUUUGCACGUUUUUCACCCAAAAUGUUUGUUAAAAUGAUUUAGGUGUUUCAUUUCGCAAAAUGACUUUUAUAAAAAGACCUUCCUUUUUGCCCCACAGUCACACUUAAUUUCAUUUGUCACUUGUUACGGAGUGGAGUUAUGUGAAACUGGUCUAUAUUAUUUGUUCUAGCCUGUACUGUAUAAUUUAUUACAUUAAGAAACCAAUAAUUUUUAAAUUUAAUCAGAUUUAAGUUUUUAAUAAGAUUCAUUCUCCUAUUCACAUUUGCUUAAUUUAAGGAUAUUAAAUCUGCUUAGGAAUGAGCUGCCUCUCAAAGCCUCAUAUGUCUAUUAAAGGAUUUUAUUCCUGAUGUGUUAAUAGGAUUUAAUUAUAUUAGCCCUAUAGUCCAGAGACACAUCACAGUUGUUAAACUGAUAAAGCAAGCAAACAUCAUGCUAAAAAAGUAAUGGCCAGCCUAUGUUUUUAAAAGAAUAUUAAGGCUUGAUCAUUUUUACUGUCUCUGUGUUGUGUGGAUUUACAUCACACUGAAAUUUAAAAUUUAGAACGCUGAACACAGUGGAAGGUAAACUUCCUUUUCUAAAUGCAUUUAAAACCAGGUUAACACAGAAAUAAACAAGUCCAGUUUAAAUACUCUAUCUCUAAAUUGUUCCUUAUCUCUGAUUCAAAGAGAUUUAUUUAAACAAACUUCUGGUUUUCUUUCACCUUUCUUUUGACUGUUGAACUCAUGGUUUUGUGUAUGAAACAGAGCUGCAGCAAGUUGUUAUGAAAACUGAAGAUGUUAAAUAUUGCCUGGAUUUCUUUCUUCCCUGUGGCUAAUUAGGUUUAAUGACAAACAGUGGAGGAAAUGGAAAACAAUUGCUUGGGGACUGUCUACUGUGGCAUGGUGGGGGAGACAAGCAGAGAAGGGAGGCACAGACUGCUGUAGUCUGUAAAUCUUGUCAAUUUCUCCAUCAGCAUUAUUUGCAUCGAUCAAAAGUGUUGGCUCUUGUCAAGUUCAUAUGAAAGCUAAAUGUACAGAAGUCAGUGUUUCUGAUGGCUGCAGACAAUUCUGAGAUGGAAAAAACUACAAGAUUUGCAUAGAAUCACAGGGAAGGGGGAAAAAAACCCUAGCAAUAUGCCAUCCAGUUGGAUAUUUUGCUUCCAAAAUUAGGUUGACGCAUGUUAUGGCACAUUUCCACCAGUAAUCACAGACAUACUGCAUAUAUUUCAGGAAGAUUUAGGCCCUGAUUUUUCCUCUUAUUUAUACAGAGCUGGACUUUGAGCCCCACUUUGAGCACAUAGCGUGGGCUGCUUUUAUUUGGGGAAACUAGAAAUGUAAAGGAGGAUCUUAGCUCCCCCCCCCCCCC